CAGCAGCCGCGGGAAAACAGAGGGUGCGAGCGUUAAUCGGAUUUACUGGGCGUAAAGCGUGCGUAGGCGGCUUCUUAAGUCGGAUGUGAAAUCCCUGAGCUUAACUUAGGAAUUGCAUUCGAUACUGGGAAGCUAGAGUAUGGGAGAGGAUGGUAGAAUUCCAGGUGUAGCGGUGAAAUGCGUAGAGAUCUGGAGGAAUACCGAUGGCGAAGGCAGCCAUCUGGCCUAAUACUGACGCUGAGGUACGAAAGCAUGGGGAGCAAACAGGAUUAGAUACCCCUGUAGUCCCUGUCUCUUAACA
rnacentral:rRNA from 1 species